UACAGAGGGUGCGAGCGUUAAUCGGAAUUACUGGGCGUAAAGCGUGCGUAGACGGCUAUCUAAGUCGGGUGUGAAAGCCCCGGGCUCAACCUGGGAACCGCGCUUGAGACUGGCAUGCUCGAGUUCGGGAGAGGAUGGUGGAAUUCCCAGUGUAGAGGUGAAAUUCGUAGAUAUUGGGAAGAACACCGAUGGCGAAGGCAGCCAUCUGGACCGACACUGACGCUGAGGCGCGAAAGCGUGGAGAGCAAACAGG
rnacentral:rRNA from 1 species